GACGAACGCUGGCGGCGUGCUUAACACAUGCAAGUCGAACGGAAAGGCCCUGCUUUUGUGGGGUGCUCGAGUGGCGAAAGGGUGAGUAACACGUGAGUAACAUGCCCUUGACUUUGGGAUAACUUCAGGAAACUGGGGCUAAUACCGGAUAGGAGAUCCUGAUGCAUGGUGGGGGUUGGAAAGUUUCGGAGUUUGGGGAUGGACUCGCGGCUUAUCAGCUUGUUGGUGGGGUAGUGGCUUACCAAGGCUUUGACGGGUAGCCGGCCUGGGAGGGUGACCGGCCACAUUGGGCUUGGGGUACCGCCCAGACUCCUACGGGGGGCAUCAGCGGGGGAUUUUGCACGAUGGGCGGAAUCCUGAUGCAGCAUCGCCGCGUGCUGGAUGACGGCCGUCGGGUUGUAAACCGCUUUCGCCUGUGACGAAGCGUGAGUGACGGUAAUGAGUAAGGAAGCACCGGCUAACUACGUG
rnacentral:rRNA from 1 species